rnacentral:rRNA from 1 species
ACGGCUCAGUAACACGUGGCUAAUCUGCCCUUGGGACCGGAACACCCCCGGGAAACUGGGGCUAAUUCUCGAUAGGUGAAGAACUCUGGAAUGAGUCUUUGCUAAAAGGACGUUUACGUUAUGCUCGUAGGCGUCGCCCAAGGAUGAGGCCGCGACCGAUCAGGUUGUUGGUGAGGUAAUGGCUCACCAAGCCUUUUACCGGUGCGGGCCGUGAGAGCGGGAGCCCGGAGAUGGGCACUGAGACAAGGGCCCAGGCCCUACGGGGCGCAGCAGUCGCGAAAACUUUGCAAUACACGAAAGUGUGACAGGGCUAUCCCGAGUGCCAUCCGCUGAGGAAGGCUUUUACCCAGUCUAGAACGCUGGGGGAAUAAGGAGAGGGCAAGUCUGGUGUCAGCCGCCGCGGUAAUACCAGCUCUCCGAGUGGUGUGGAUGUUUAUUGGGCCUAAAGCAUCCGUAGCUGGCUAAGUUAGUCCCUUGUUAAAUCCACCGAAUUAAUCGUUGGAUUGCGGGGGAUACUGCUUGGCUAGGGGACGAGAGAGGCAGACGGUAUUUCCGGGGUAGGGGUGAAAUCCUAUAAUCCCGGGAAGACCACCAGUGGCGAAGGCUGUCUGCUAGAACGCGCCCGACGGUGAGGGAUGAAAGCUGGGGGAGCGAACCGGAUUAGACACCCGGGUAGUCCCAGCUGUAAACGAUGCAGGCUAGGUGUUUGGACGGCCACGUGCCGUUCUAGUGCCGCAGGGAAGCUGUUAAGCCUGCCGCCUGGGGAGUACGAUCGCAAGAUUGAAACUUAAAGGAAUUGGCGGGGGAGCAC